rnacentral:rRNA from 1 species
GAAGAAGUGAAUUAAGGGCAUUUGGUGGAUGCCUUGGCAUGCACAGGCGAAGAAGGACGUGAUACGCUGCGAAAAGCCGUGGGGAGCUGCGAAUAAGCUUUGAUCCAUGGAUCUCCGAAUGGGGCAACCCACCUUAAAUACCUAGAAAAUCUGUUCUGUGGCGAAACGCCUGCGUGGGACUUCCCAUACAGGGCGCUAGCCCGUCGCCGGUUAUCCGGCGCGCCGUCCGCAGGCCUUUGGCCGUGAGGACAGAAGAGGUUUCUAGGUAUUGUGAUAAGGUAUCUUACUUUCGAAUACAUAGGGGUAAGAAGCGAACGCAGGGAACUGAAACAUCUAAGUACCUGCAGGAAAGGACAUCAACCGAGACUCCGCAAGUAGUGGCGAGCGAACGCGGACCAGGCCAGUGGCAAUGAUGAAUAAAGCGGAACGAUUUGGAAAAGUCGGCCAUAGAGGGUGAUAGCCCCUUACGCGUAGAACAGUCAUUGUCCUUGAGUAGGGCGGGACACGUGAAAUCCUGUCUGAACAUGGGGAGACCACUCUCCAAGCCUAAGUACUCGUGCAUGACCGAUAGCGAACAAGUACCGUGAGGGAAAGGUGAAAAGCACCCCGACGAGGGGAGUGAAAUAGAACCUGAAACCGGAUGCCUACAAACAGUCGGAGCCCGCAAGGGUGACGGCGUACCUUUUGUAUAAUGGGUCAACGACUUAGUGUAACUAGCAAGCUUAAGCCGGUAGGUGUAGGCGCAGCGAAAGCGAGUCUGAAUAGGGCGAUUGAGUUAGUUGCAUUAGACCCGAAACCGAGUGAUCUAGCCAUGAGCAGGCUGAAGGUUGGGUAACACCAACUGGAGGGCCGAACCCAUAACUGUUGCAAUAGUUCGGGAUGACUUGUGGCUAGGGGUGAAAGGCCAAUCAAACUCGGAAAUAGCUGGUUCUCCGCGAAAUCUAUUUAGGUAGAGCGUCGACCGAAUACCCUCGGGGGUAGAGCACUGGAUGGGCUAUGGGGACUCACCGUCUUACUGAUCCUAACCAAACUCCGAAUACCGAGGAGUACUAGUCGGCAGACACACGGCGGGUGCUAACGUCCGUCGUGAAAAGGGCAACAACCCUGACCUCCAGCUAAGGUCCCCAAGUCAUGGCUAAGUGGGAAAGGAUGUGAGGAUCCCAAAACAACCAGGAUGUUGGCUUAGAAGCAGCCAUCAUUUAAAGAAAGCGUAACAGCUCACUGGUCUAAAUAAGGGUCUUUGCGCCGAAAAUGUAACGGGGCUAAAGCCAUGCACCGAAGCUGAGGAUUUGCACUUUGUGCAAGUGGUAGCGGAGCGUUCCGUAAGUCUGUGAAGGCGGACCCGUGAGGGCUGCUGGAGAUAUCGGAAGUGCGAAUGUUGACAUGAGUAACGAUAAAGGGAGUGAGAGACUCCCUCGCCGAAAGACCAAGGGUUCCUGCUUAAAGUUAAUCUGAGCAGGGUUAGCCGGCCCCUAAGACGAGGCGGACACGCGUAGUCGAUGGGAACCACGUUAAUAUUCGUGGGCCUGGUGGUAGUGACGGAUCUCGUGUGUUGUUCAACCUUAUUGGAUUGGUUGGGCGGCGAAGAGGUUCCAGGAAAUAGCUCCACCGUAUAGACCGUACCCGAAACCGACACAGGUGGUCAGGUAGAGUAUACCAAGGCGCUUGAGAGAACUAUGUUGAAGGAACUCGGCAAAUUGCACGCGUAACUUCGGAAGAAGCGUGACCCUUUUGUACGCAAGUAUGAUGGGGUGGCACAGACCAGGGGGUAGCGACUGUUUAUCAAAAACACAGGGCUCUGCGAAGUAGCAAUACGACGUAUAGGGUCUGACGCCUGCCCGGUGCUGGAAGGUUAAAGGGAGGGGUGCAAGCUCUGAACUGAAGCCCCAGUAAACGGCGGCCGUAACUAUAACGGUCCUAAGGUAGCGAAAUUCCUUGUCGGGUAAGUUCCGACCUGCACGAAUGGCGUAACGACUUCCCCGCUGUCUCCAACAUAGACUCAGUGAAAUUGAAUUCCCCGUGAAGAUGCGGGGUUCCUGCGGUCAGACGGAAAGACCCCGUGC